AGGAGCUGGAGGCCAGCGUCUUGGCCGCAUACUGGCAAUUGGACACCAGCUUGCGAUAGAUGCGGCACAAGGCAUCCAGCUCGUCCCUGAUAGGCUGUCCAACAGCUUGGGAUUCACCUUGCCGCUCAGCUCAUCCAUCCUCCGUUGCCGCUGUUGCCGUUUGUUCUGCAAAGCAGCCGCGGCGGCUUUCGACUGUUGGUUGCUCGAGUUGCGCUUGCCGCUGGCAAGGAACACGGAUACCGUUUUCAGUAUCGUUUUGUUCGCAUGUAGUGUGGAUCUGCCGACGCCAGUGGUGCCUCCAGUUGCUGUGGGUGCCGCUGCACCAACACCACCACUUCCACCACCACCACCACCACCACCACCAGUUGUUGCCCCGCCAUCCCGAUUGGGUGUCGGUGUUGGCGAACGACCCUUGCCAGCGCCUGCCUUUCCUGCAACCCAAAAAAAAAAAAAAAGAAAAAGAAAAAUAAAAAAGUUCUGCUUUACAUGGGUGCGUGCCUCUGUCUUUGUGCAACUUUGGCCUGCAACUUUAUGUGUCAAAGUCGACACGCUCACCCCCCCGCCCCCACUCUGCCAUCGAAAUAGACUCCUCCUCCUCCUUGGCAAGCUUAGCCAGAAAAGCCCUUCAAGUAUGUGAAUGUGAAUGUGGUUGUGGAUGGAUGUGGCACAGAGCAAACAAAAGGCCUGAAAUGCAAAUGCGCCUCGCCAGAACCAUUCAUGCCCCAUUCACGGGUAAUACCCAUCCAAAAAUGGGUAAAAAUGGGUAAUAGCGUUCACAUUCGGCCCAUAAAUUGUUUCAGCCGGCUAUUUCGAUUCGAAUACACUGAGAGAAACCAAAAUCAGGGCACCCAACUGCGCCCAUUGGUGUGGAAAUAGAAAGUGAUCAUAUAAGUUGAUAUAAAGAGUCACUAUUAUAAUAGGCACAAAAUCAGUUUCACUGGUUUGGCUUCAACAUAAAGCUAAGUAGAUGAUAUUUUUUUGAAAAGUGUACUCAUUUAGCUUUGUGCUCACUUUGAUUUCAAUCUACUCUGCCCCCAAACUCCCCACCUCCCCUCGCCGCUUCGUUUUGUUGUGUCGUGUCUCCUUUGAGAAAAAAUGUUAUUAUCUUGUGAUUACCCAUAUAAGUGAAGGAGCAGCAUAUGGGGGCCCGUCUGUCUAUGUCGAUGUCUAUCCAUCCAUCUGUCUGUUUAUGACCGCCUGCGCCCCAGACACUAUAAUUUUAUUAGCAUUUUCAUUUGCUGCAGUGGGGGACUGGGUUUUCUUUUUUUUGUUUUUUUUUUUGGGGAAUUUAAAUGGAAAUGGCUUCCCAACGGAGAAGCGUGUUGGUAUCGGGCCCUCGAUAACAGUCGCAGUAUGUCUAGACCCAUGUUCCCAUGUACGGCAUAUGGUUUCGUGUAAUUUGUUGAUAUCGGUUGCCCGGUUGCCACACCACCAAUCCAGCAUGGGGUCACCCAAACCCACACCCACAUCCACACCCACACUUGAGCGACCACCUCUGAAGGGGCAAAUAAAUCAAACAUCUUUGGACCUGGCAGUCCAUCAACGGAUUGCAAAAAAAAAGUGCAACAUAUACCCCCCAAUCACAUAUGACUGAGCACCUGGACGGGCAUAGUCCUUUUGGCCAACUCCUCGAAAUGCUUCAGUCGCGAUUGGCAAGCCAAACGAAGGGAUCUACUCCGGGAGCCCAUUGAAUAGUAUAUAGUAUAUCAGGAUGAGUUUUUGACUAAUUUUUAAAUCAUAAAAUUAAAAAAGAAGGUAGGAAUUAUAUGGUUUAUGUAUGGAUUAUGUUCCUUCAUUGGCAAUCAAUAUCAAAUGGUUGGUAUAUAUCAAAAAUUCACACUGUUCUUAAUGCAUUGAAUAAAUAAGCAUA